UCCGGACCUGACUGCUAUCGGAUUGAUACUAAGCCAUGCGAGUCAUUGUAGUAAUACAAGGCAGACGGCUCAGUAACGCGUAGUCAACCUAACCUAUGGACGGGAAUAACCUCGGGAAACUGAGUAUAAUGCCCGAUAGAACAUUAUGCCUGGAAUGGUUUAUGUUCCAAAUGAUUUAUCGCCGUAGGAUGGGACUGCGGCCUAUCAGUUUGUUGGUGAGGUAAUGGCCCACCAAGACUAUUACAGGUACGGGCUCUGAGAGGAGUAGCCCGGAGAUGGGUACUGAGACACGGACCCAGGCCCUAUGGGGCGCAGCAGGCGAGAAAACUUUGCAAUGUGCGAAAGCACGACAAGGUUAAUCCGAGUGGUUUCUGCUAAAGGAACCUUUUGUCGGUCCUAGAAACACCGAUGAAUAAGGGGUGGGCAAGUUCUGGUGU
rnacentral:rRNA from 1 species